GCGUGGUGUUUUACGGUGUUUUUGAGAUAACAUAGUUUUUGUCAGUAAAUUUGAGACCAUAUAUUUUUACCUGCUUUUUAUAUUCUCGCAAAUAUUUAAUAUAUUGUAUUGAACCAGACCUUUAUCGAAUAAUAUAUGUUGUUAAUUACCACAUUGAGAAGGCUGUCCAUGGCCAAUGUAAAGCCAAGCAUUGUAUUUGUUCUUGGUGGACCUGGAUCAGGCAAAGGAACCCAGUGUGCAAAAAUUAUAAAGGAGUUUGGCUAUGUUCAUCUAUCAGCUGGAGAUCUUUUGAGAACAGAAAGAGAUAUUCCAGGAUCUAGAUAUGGAGACCUCAUUGAAAAACAUAUUCGGAAUGGAACAAUUGUACCUGUUGAAAUUACCUGCAAUCUGUUGCAUGCUGCAAUGAACAACAGUAGAAAAGACAGGUUCCUUAUUGAUGGGUUUCCUCGUAAUCAAGAUAAUUUAGAAGGUUGGAAUCGUGAAAUGGCAGCUAAAGUCAACUUACAGUUUGUUUUGUUCUUUGAUUGUAAUGAACAAGUAUGUAUUGAUCGGUGUUUGAAGAGAGGUUCAUCUGGAAGUGGUCGUUCAGAUGAUAAUGAAGAAAGUUUGAAGAAAAGGUUUAUUACAUAUUUCAAAGAUACUCUGCCAAUUGUUGAUCACUAUCAGAAACAAAACUUGGUUAGGAAAAUUGAUGCCAACAGUUCAGAAGAUACGGUAUUUGAAGAGGUGAAAAAAUGCUUCAAAGAAGUCAUCCUCAUAUCCUGGGAAUAUCAGAUGUAAUGCCUCACCAAGAAAUUUGUUUGUUUCAAAACUGUAGUUUUUACCUAGUUCUUUGCGACAUGCUGGACACGAAUAGACUUCUGCAUGGAAUGAUCGUUGUACAGUACCUUGCAUAUGUUAUGGAAACAGUCCGUGGUAACAGGCUGGAAGACAACCUCUUGGCAGCAAAUACACAAAAACAGCUCUUCAACUUUUUUAAAGAAGACCUGGUAAUCAAUGAGAAAAUAAACACACUCAUGUUACUUUGGAAACAAACUGCAGUCUAUUGACAUCACUUACUAUAUUAUACUACAAAAUGUUCAUAAAAGUUGUUUGAAGUGAUGUAUUAGUGGAAGAUGAAAAUCUUUAUAUACAACAAAUCUGAGUCAACCAGACAACAUAUGGUAUUCCACCUCAAGGAGCACACUUUUGAUAUUUCUUUAACCCUCUUGGAAACUUUAUGGAAUAAAUACUGUUAUAAGAGGAAUUCAACUUUAUUAGUCAACCCCAAAUUGAAAAGAACUAAAGGAGAUACAAUGAUUUUCUUUUUUUUUGGUAGAUAUUUUUCAUAUACUAAACUUUGCUACAAUAUUUAUAAAUUCUCGUGAAUACAGUUAUUAUAAGGAGCUGUAAGGACAACCAACAGAUUUUGUAUCAAGAUUGCACAUGUCUUGAAGAACAGAUGUCAGAAGCAUUAGAUUCAAAGCUUACUCGUAAGUAAGUGUAAGGUAUGUUACCAGAAUAAUCAUCAUCGAGGACAUGGAUAGCUACAGGUGGAGAGUGGUUAAUUUUAUAGAUAGAAAAUUAGUAUAGUCAUAGAAAAAAAACAAAAAAAAAACAGCAUAUUAUUCCUCAGAUCAAGCAUUACAGAUCCCUCCCUAUAUUUUAUUCCAACUUUUAUAGAUUUCUGGAUCUUGUGUGGACCCUACUUUGUUACCAAAAUUACACAAUUGGUCCUGUUGACUCAGAUUUAUUGUUAAAUAUACAACUACUACUACUAUAUAAUUACUACAAACAGUAUUAAAAUAUGUAUUGUACUCAUGCUUCUCAAGUGUUUAGUAUUAUGCACUGUGAUAAGUUUUUGACAACAAAAAUGUAAAAUAAAAAAUAGUCCUUUAUAAAGAUAUUUGUGAAAACACUAUUAACAGAUGGAUUUGGUCUGAUAUUCAUUUUACUUUGAAUAAAAUCCUGUACUUUAUUUAAUGAAUAGAAAAAUUCAAUGUAAGUAAAUCCUUUAACAAUUUACUAAAUUAAUAAGAAUAACUUCUGCUAUUCACAUGA